UAACUUGCUUUAAAUUUGAUCACAUCAAUAAAAAUAAUAUUUGUUAAAAUUUAUUUAUUUACAAAUUAAUCUACAUGUAAAGUAUAUUCUUGAAGCUGAUCAAAACAUGGACAUGAUUAAAUCUAAUUUCUUUCAACCCUCAUAAUUCUUAGUUGAUUUUUCUCUUUAGAUAUGAUUCCCCAUCCUUACAAUACAGAAAUAUUUUUCAGACAAAGCACUUACCUGCAACCGCGGGUGUAGGUAUCACCCAGAAUCAUAAUGAUGGCAAUGGCAGUGGCAGUGCCUGUUUCGCCGCCGAACCAACAUUCCCCCCCAAAUUAGGAUACUUGGCCUCUUCACAAACGGUGUGCAACUUUAAUUCUCUCAAUAAUUAUUUAUCUGCGUGUAUUUUUCACCCCCGGGGAUUGAUUACUUUAUCCAUUUGGGUUUGGGCAGGGGAACUCAGCUGUGAGCCGCUGAAGCAAGCCAUCGAGGGUCGGACAGUAUUUUUGGAAAUCUAACAGCGGGAUUGAGGUUGUCGAGGGGUAGAGGAGAAGCAAUGACUCGGUUGAGAGAGAAAGAAGAGAGGGGAUUUGUCGUUAUCGGAUUUGAGGGAUCGAUUGGCAAAAGAAAUAAAACGGAAAUUCAUUUUCCCCUGUAUAUGGGUGGCGGUGAGGGUUGGGGAAAUUAUGGAAAUGGAAGGGUUUGGAGUUUGAAGUUUUUUGGAUUGGAUCAUUUGAUUUCCUCUAUUAAGCCUAAUAUUUUUAAACAAAAGAG
rnacentral:lncRNA from 1 species